GACGAACCGUGCAAACGUUGUUCGGAAUCACUGGGCUUAAAGGGCGCGUAGGCGGGCCAGCAAGUCAGGGGUGAAAGCCCACGGCUCAACCGUGGAAGUGCCUUUGAUACUGUUGGUCUUGAGGGAGGUAGGGGCGUGCGGAACUUCCGGUGGAGCGGUGAAAUGCGUAGAUAUCGGAAGGAACACCGGUGGCGAAGGCGGCAUCCUGGACCGACACUGACGCUGAGGAGCGAAAGCCAGGGGAGCAAACGGG
rnacentral:rRNA from 1 species